AUCCCAAUUACGCUGAGCAGUCAUAAGAUCUGACCAUCCUCACGAUGCAGGCCCUGCAGAUUGGCACCGUGGUUUGCAGUUUCAUCAGUCUUCUGCUCUUCCUCAUUGCCCUGGGAUCAGACCACUGGUUUUUGUCCAUACUACCAGAGUCUUCAUGCUGCUUGGGAUGACUGCUGGAGCCAUCUCUUGCCUUGGUCUUUGUGGCAAAUAUUUUGACUUCCAGAUUGGCUCCAUCUCCAGGGCCAAGACCUCAGCUAUAGCCAGCAUUGUUGCAGCUGUUUGUGUCCUGAUUGCCAUGGCCAGCUACACAGGGCAUGUGGGAUCACUGGCCAGUUAUGGAUGGUCUUUUGGCUUGGGCUUGGCCACCUUUCCUCUAUUCCUUAUAACUGGUAUGUGUCAAAUGGGAAAUGCUGAAUAUGUUUGUCUUUACCUUCGCAUGGAGUUGCCA